UGCUUGGGGAUCUGCCUGAUAGAGGGGGACGAACAGUUGGAACGACUGCUAAUACCGCAUAAUCUCUACGGAGCAAAGGGGCCGUCUACUUGUAAGCUCUCGCUAUCAGAUGAACCCAAGUGAGAUUAGCUAGUUGGUGAGGUAAAGGCUCACCAAGGCGACGAUCUCUAGCUGGUUUGAGAGGAUGAUCAGCCACACUGGGACUGAGACACGGCCCAGACUCCUACGGGAGGCAGCAGUGGGGAAUAUUGCACAAUGGGCGCAAGCCUGAUGCAGCCAUACCGCGUGUGUGAAGAAGGC
rnacentral:rRNA from 1 species